GACCAAGUGUAAGACCUGCCAUUAAACCAGCAAACAACACCAAUCCUAUCACUGCUAAAAUAUACAGAGAAAAUUUUGUUCCACAACACGCCACAUCAGCUGCCAUAUUUUACAGAUACUCUUUCCCAAAGUUCAAAGAAAGUCUUGAAAUUUGCUAAAGUUUUGAUUUUGUCUGCUUCUUUGUAAUUAAACCUCGAUUUGAUCAGACCCCAAAUCGUCUAUUACCUAACUUAGAAAAUAUUUAUACUUAUUUUUCUGGAGAUACUCUUUCCCAAGUUCAAAUAAAGUCUUGAAAUUUGCUAAAGGUUUGAUUUUUUUUCGAUUUUUGUAAAUAAACCUCGACUUUAUGUGUAUCUUUGUUGUGUGAGCUGUUUUUUCCCAUUCAAGAACUGUCUUUUUUCUCCCCCACCACCUCCCCACGUCCCUAUAUUUAUACUGGUCCCUUAAAAUAAUUUUUUCAAAUCAAGCUGUUGUGUUUGAUGAUAAUGCAAUAGGUCAUAAAUCAUAAGGAAGAGGAAUGGUAAAAAAAAAAUUGGCCUAGGUGCAUGUCCAAUGUGAUGGAAGCACUUAAUUCCAGAAUAUUACUUUACUAAUCAGUGAGUGACAUUGUUUCUUCCGAUGCUAAAAAG
rnacentral:lncRNA from 1 species